AUAUUUUGGAAUUUUUCCUUUGCAUUUAUCUAUGUACUGUUAACCACGGUUGGAAUCGUCUACGCCCCCACAAGAGAGGUUAAUUCUUACAUGGUAGCUGAAGCUCUUUACCACAUAAUCAUUUUCUUCUACCCUUGUGUUUUGAUUGAGCUUACAAGAAGUGAAGUUGACAAAAUAAAGCUGCUAUUAACAGAAAUAUACACACUGAGCUCAGAUGACAAGAUACUCACCAAAACAGAAGAUUCCUUAAUGCUACUUGAAGUGCGUCCAUUUGAAUUAGUCGUGUUUCGCCUCAUCUCUAUUAAUAUUCGCCUGCCCUUACAUUUCUUAGCUCUCAUAACAUCUUAUGUCAUAGUUACUGUACAAUUUACUCACGUGUUUGGAUAAUUUUAAUAUUUGGUACACAACGAAGCAAAUAGAUUUUUUUAAAGUGCAAAAUACAAAAUUAAUGUAAAUUUAAUUAUUUUUUGAUCGGUAAUAACAUCUUUAUUUUAUUCCUUUUUCUUACUAAUUUAAUACUUACUUGAAAAUAAUAUUUCACGAUGUGUUUGACGACAAUUUUAGGCAUAGUGCCUUUCGUAUUCAGUUUAUUUCAUAGAAGCCAACAAUAUUAGCUUACACAGGUAUGGAGUGAUUACUUUUCGAUAAUGAGAUAAGAGAAUGGCACUAGAGACCCGACAGCACGCUGGUGGUGAUAGCGUAGGUACUGGAUUGCCCAAACAUAGUUUAUUGUAUUGAUGCACUAAACGCACUUUUGUCAUGUGUGGUUACAAUUAAACUACAGCCGUGCGAUUCUGUAACUCACUUUUCGAACUCUUACAGCGGUUUCCGUAGCGGCGGUCGCGCUC